UCUCCGUUGGUGAACCAGCGGAGGGAUCAUUAUCGAGUUACCGCUCUACAACCCUUUGUGAACAUACCUAACUGUUGCUUCGGCGGGCAGGGGGUCCCCCCGGGGACGCCCUCCCGGCCCCGCCCCCCUACCAGGGGACGUGGCGCCCGCCGGAGGAUACCUAACUCUAUUUUAACGACGUUUCUUCUGAGUGGCACAAGCAAAUAAUUAAAACUUUUAACAACGGAUCUCUUGGUUCUG
rnacentral:misc_RNA from 1 species